GCCAUGGGAAGUAACAGCCCAACUGAUCUUGAGCUCUUUGUUCACUAGAAAGUGGCAAGUGGAGGAAGACCAGCUUGACAGGGCAUAGCUUUGUUCAGCCUUUUUCAGAUACUGGACUAGAGGAGAAGUGGGUUGCACGUCCACCUGCCUAAAAGACUAAGGGAGACAGCUGUGGAAAUAUAAGGGCAGAUCUUUGCCAUGCCAGGAGGAUCUGUCUUGUGGCUAUCACUGCUCUUCCUAUGCAUCCUCUUCCCAAAGGACAAUGGCAUCAACUCUGAAAAAACAGAAGAAGACAUCCAAAAGAUGAAAGAGCCUGCAGGGAACCUGAGGAUGAAACAGCUUAAACUGCAACAGGAACCUGCUCCGCAGGAACCUCUGGGGAGCAAUGACGCUCCAGGGAAUUAAAAAAACACACACACUUGGGGGCAUGCUUCUGCAUUGUUGUCAUGUUUAGAACAGAGAUAGGCUAUGAGGAGGACUCCUCCUCCUUAAUUUCCAGCUAGAAAAAAGUAUGCACUUUGAAGAUAAGAUAUAUAGAACCACUUUAAUCCUGUCUGAGCUAGUUUGAAGAAGCAUGUGAGCCUAAAAGAGAUAAAAGUAUGAACUUAGUGUGACCUUUGUUCAUUUACAAAGAAAUUUCGACAUUCCCUUCUUGAAUAAAUUUUUGUUAUCA